rnacentral:rRNA from 1 species
UACGGAGGGUGCAAGCGUUAUCCGGAUUCACUGGGUUUAAAGGGUGCGUAGGUGGGUCUGUAAGUCCGUGGUGAAAUCUCCGAGCUUAACUUGGAAACUGCCAUGGAUACUGCCGUGCUUGAGGACUGGAGAGGAGACUGGAAUUUACGGUGUAGCGGUGAAAUGCGUAGAUAUCGUAAGGAAGACCAGUGGCGAAGGCGGGUCUCUGGACAGUUCCUGACGCUGAGGCACGAAGGUCAGGGGAGCAAACGGG